rnacentral:tRNA from 1 species
GGAGAGAUGGCAGAGUCCGGUUGAAUGCACUCGACUCGAAAUCGAGCAGGGGGCUUAUAAACCUCCUCGGGGGUUCGAAUCCCUUUCUCUCCGCCA